rnacentral:rRNA from 1 species
AUGUGUGUGGAUUACAUGGAUCUUAACAAGGUUUGUCCAGCUGAUCCUUUUGCCCUCCCUCGCAUUGACCAGAUUAUUGACGCCACGGCAGGUUGUGAGUGCUUGAGUUUUUUGGAUGCGUAUUCUGGGUAUCAUCAGAUCAAAAUGGCGGUUAAGGACCAGGAGAAGACGGCGUUUAUUACUCCCUUUGGAGCCUUCUGCUAUGUAUCUAUGCCUUUUGGGCUCAAGAGCGCCCAAGCCACUUAUCAACGAUGUGUACAGAAUUGCCUGCAUAAACAGAUCGGCCGCAAUGUGCACGCCUAUGUGGAUGAUAUUGUAGUCAAGUCAAGGCAGAAGGAGACGCUGGUUGAUGAUUUGAAGGAAACCUUUGACAACUUGCGGGUUUAUAAGAUGAUGCUUAACCCUGCCAAAUGUGUCUUUGGUGUUCCGGCAGGCAAGUUACUGGGCUUUCUUGUGUCCAACAGAGGAAUUGAGGCUAAUCCGGAGAAGAUUACGGCUAUCACCUCCCUGGCUAAACCAAAGUGUAUCAACAAUGUUCAGCGUUUGGCGGGUCGGAUCACCGCACUGAGCCGGUUUAUCAGCCGCCUUGGAGAGAAGGCCAUCCCUUUAUACCAGAUGUUGAGAAAGACAGAUCAAUUCAUCUGGAGUCCAGCUGCUGAUGAAGCGUUGGAGGACUUGAAGCGGCAAUUAGCCAAUCCGCCCGUUCUUGCAGCUCCGGUCGACAAGGAGCCGUUAUUGUUAUACGUAGCGGCCAAUGCUCGUGCAGUUAGCGUGGCUAUUGUGGUAGAAUGCAAGGAGGCAGGCAAGGAGUAUCCGGUUCAGCGGCCGGUUUACUAUAUCAGCGAGGUGCUUAUUAAAUCCAAGCAAAGGUAUCCGCAUUGGCAGAAGCUGGUAUAUGGAGUUUUCAUGGCAAGCCGGAAGUUGAAGCAGUAUUUCCAAGGGCACCCCAUCACAGUGGUCAGUUCAGCUCCCUUGGGCGAUAUCAUACAGAACCGGGAGGCGACUGGCCGGAUUGCCAAGUGGGCCAUAGAACUUGGGCCGCACGGAUUGAAGUACGUGCCUCGGAUGGCGGUGAAGUCUCAAGCACUUGUUGAUUUCAUCAAUGAUUGGACGGAGUUGCAAGCACCAGAGGAAAAGCCGGAUCAUACAUAUUGGACUAUCCAUUUUGAUGGAUCCAGGCAAUUGGAAGGCUCGGGGGCUGGAGUCGUAUUAACUUCCCCACGAGGUGAUAAGUUUUGUUAUGUUCUCCGCUUAAUGUUCCCUUGUACUAAUAAUGCAGCUGAGUAUGAAGCUUUGCUCCAUGGUCUCCGGAUGGCUAAAGAGAUGAAUCUAAGUCAGGUUAAGUGCUUCGGUGACUCGGACCUCGUGGCUCAACAGGUAUCUGGUACUUGGGAUUCUGAGGACCCGCUUAUGGCUGCAUAUCGUCGUGAGGUGGAUAUUGUUGCGGGUCACUUCAAGGGUUAUCAGGUGGAGCACGUGGAUCGUCGAAAAAAUGAAGCGGCGGACGCUUUAAGCCGGUUGGGCUCUCAGCGUAAACCGGUCCCGCCUAAUGUCUUUCUUGAUGUGUUGCACAACCCGUCAGUCAAGCUUCCGGGUGAAGCAGAUUUGGCUAUUCCUGAUCUGGAGGCUCAAUUGGUGGCAGCCCUGCAUAUUAUACCGGAUUGA